ensembl:lncRNA
CAAGGAGCAGCAGUAAGUCUCCUGAGCACAGUUUGAGACCCUUCAACAGGAGGGUAGUUCACAAGGGUGCAGAGAUUUCUCCAGCGUGAGUCCUUACCAGCGUGGGCCAGACAACAGGAGCUCUGCAACCCACUCCCUCUUGUGACCAUUUGUCAUUGCCAGCCACUGCUGUACUGCCGCCAGACUGAGGUUGAGGAUCAGCACAAGAGCUGUUUGUUUUUGGAGACAGGAGAGCGGCAGCACUAUAGAAAAACUGAAGACUGGAGAAGAGCAAAUGAAGAAUGAAAGAAAUAGGAGGAGUGUGGAAAAAACUUUAUAAGCCGGAUAAAGGGGAGGAGUAGAAGAAAGAUGAGAAGAAAACUUCACAGGGUCAGACAGAAUCUGAUAAACUUUGACAAAAGCUUCAACACGCUUGGAAGGUGUUUUCUAAACCUUCUAGCCUUGUAACAUUUUCCCAUCAAUAGUCCAGAGGUGAAAUGAUUUAUGAAUACACAUGCUUACACAGUUCUCUGUGAGCAUCUUGAUAAGGUAAAUAUAUCACUCAGCAGGAAGCUUCAUUGCAUACUAGUCUCCUUCCUCAGAGAGAAAUUCUGUGUUGUGGGCCCCAGCUAGCCCUUUCUGACAUACACAGGGCGUGAAGUUUUGUUCUUCAUUAAAAAAUGUCCCAUCGAGAUGUUUAAAGACAGAUCUCCCUGUAAGGGUGAACACCCUGAAUUGCCCUCCAUCCAGUUCUUCUCCAUUUAAUUGGUAUAAAGCAGUUUCCCCUCGGCUACUUCCUCCCUUGAAAUUACACAAGUAGCCUCACUAGAAAGGCAUAGGUAAAUAUUUUAUACUGUGCACCAUGUGGAUUAGGAGCACAGCUCCCAUUAACCAGAGCUGGAAUCACGCAGCUGAUUUCCCCCUCACACUGUGCUUGAAGCAUACCCUACAGGAUGCAGAGACUGGGCUCCCAAGUGCCACCUUAUGAAGAAGGUGUGGAGCACUUUCAUUUAAUACUGCAUGUGUUUCCAUUAGCAGAGUCAAUUGCUCUCCAUCCUCAGUUUUAAGACUCCCUGUUUCUCUCUAUUACAGCUCUAUUUCCAAACACCAACCAAUCCUCCCUAGUCCUCCCGUCCGAGCCCACAAGGUUUUGAUGAUAUAACACCGCAGCAUCUUGGCUUUCAUUUGGUUUAAACUUUUUAUUCGCAAUUAUAGAUGUGCUGAACACUGAGCACUUCUAUUUCUCAUGAGCUUACUGCUGCUUAGGAAAGCUGAUGCACCUAGUGUAUUGGCAAUUUGGGGUGGCAGCUUAGGGGGUGUCAGUAGAGCAGAGGCCAGCAUAUCCUGAAACCUGCAAAGCACAUGGGGAAAAGAAUGUGGCUGCUACUUUGAUUGAGAGCAACUGUUCACACAGGCGUGGUUCCUACGGAGUAGAAAAUUUAUGUAUCUGUGUAAAUUCUAAGCUAAAACUAGAAAAGGUUCAUCCCAUAUGUAAAAAUAGAGUUGUGGUUAAUAUACCGUACACUGUGGUCAAUUACUACUCUGGGAAGUGGUGUCUCAGCUACCUGUGCGGUGCAAUACAGCAACUGCCAGACGUUGGCUUUCCUCACUUCCAUUUUUACCACAUAGCUAUCUCCUCCUGUCUAGGAAACUUACAAAAUAAAAUUCUGUCUGGUCUGUGCAAGUGGGGUUAUGUCACCGCAGGUAAUAACAAACUUGAGUGUCCAUUCAUGAAGCAAUCUUAAAGAAUGGUUUUGUUCUAAUUCAAAAUUUUAACUUUCAGAAAAUUAAAAUUUCCUCUUUUCUAAUGCGGUAAUUUUAAAAAAUAAAAAUAUCCAGAAAAAGGUUUUACUUAAAAAAAAAUAAAUAAAUCAAAUCCCACAAUUUCUUAAAUAAGCCAAGUGCUUUCCUUUAAAUUUCAGGUCAACUCUAGAUUAGAACUAAUUAGAAUAUUAGAUUGCAUGAACAUAUGAAGUGAACCAAAAGUAAUCAAAAUGACAGGAAACACACAAAAAAAUAUUUCUACUUGAUUGGCAUGAUGCUCGUCAGCAUUAUCAAACCUCAACAGCGAGAGUGAAACACUUUCAGUUUUUUAAAGUCAGAAUGUCACUGAGAUAAAGUUGUUCUUGGAAAGAGUUUUUAUUUCUUUAUUUAAUCACAUUCCUUAACAGAAAUUUCUAAUAACUAUUUUUACCAGCUUAAUCUAGAACACAACUGCUGUGAAAUUCUACAUAUGACCAGUGUUUAACAUGCAAAUCUUCGCUACCUCCUUGCUGAUCCUGUUUUUUGUUUUGAGCUCUUUGCUAAUAAGUAAUGAAAAUGUUACAGCCUUACAGCUUGUUUUGUGGUUGCAAUUACGUAAUCAUUAUUAAUGAAGCAACAA